GCCAUCGCCGCCGCCGGCCACCGUCGCCGCCGCACCUCCCCUCCUCCGACGUCCACGGAUCGAGGUACUCCUCUUCCACCUCGCAUCUCCAUCUCCUCCGCAUCACCCCCUUCCUCUUCCUCAACGGCUCGCUCCCUUCCUCUUCUUGCAAGAUGCCUCUGUACACCCCCAUCGCAGGAACCGCAGGUGGAUGGACCUGGAUUCGGCACCACCGUUGACUUGAAGUUUGAGGAACUGCGGCGAUCUGCUGCCAGCCGUCGUCAAUCAUGAGGAACCGCGGCAGCGCGCCGCCCUUGGCCAGGCUGCAGGAGGAUUCAUCGAUUCAUUAGGAGGACAAGAUCGAGCAGAGCAGGUGGAGGAGGAAUUAAUCUCGCCAGUGAACAGAACAGGCCGGCAUACCUCUGGAGGCCGCGCUUGACGCCGUCGGCGGUGACGUCGGUGUAGAAGGCGUCCCAGGUGCACCAGCCGAACCAGUCGAGGAACGACGGCAGCUUCUUCCUCUCCCGGUGGUGGAACGUCUGCAGGUGCUUCUCCACCGCCCGGACGGCGGCGCCUGCUCGUAUAGUAGCGCCGUACCAUGCACCCAUGUUGCAUCCACACUUGGGGUCUUGGGGAUCGGAGCAGUAAUGGUGGCAGAAGUAGACCGGGAGGUUGGCCAGGUACAUUUGGCUUAUGAGUAUGCAGGCAUGCUUUAACGCUGUUGCCAUACUGAAAUCUAGUUUCCCAGUACCACUAUUCAAGUAAACCAUGACUCUUGACCUUUGGUUAGUUUUGAUGAGCAUCCAGAGCGACACCAUCAUCAUGCUCUUAACACUAACCAAAAUGGUACCUGAAAACAUUAACUUGGAUUAGAAUAUAGUACUAGUAGUAAUGUGGUGGGAUUAAACUUAUUGCAGCCCCUUAAAUUUCGAUCAAUGCCAUGUUGGGAGGCACCAUUUGGCAUCAACUUAUUGUGCUGAGUUUUGGUUAUAAGAGAAAAAAUGGGAAUCCUGCAUUUAUUGGCUUGGAGAGUGGGGCAUGAAAGGCUAUAGGAGUUGAUCUUGCACACCUCCAGCUAGGCGUCCAUGACAACUGCAGCACAGAUCAUACGGGCUGUGUUUAUAUGCGAAAAGUUUGCAAAAAGUGAAGCUGAAAAGCACUGUAGCACUUUUCAUUUGUAUGUGGUAAAUAUUGUCCUAUCAUGGGCUAACUAGGCUCAAAAGAUUUAUCUCGCAACGUACAUCCAAACUGUGCAAUAAGUUGUUUUGUUUAGCCACAUUUAGUGUUCCAUGCAUGCAUCAUUUGCUAUAUUUAAUGUUUCAAUGUGAUUUCGAUGUGAUGGAAAGUUUGGAAACUUUGGAGGAACUAAACACAGCCACGGUGGUGGGAGAUGAGCAAUUUGAGCAUAGUAGGCCCAAGCUAGUAAAGGAAGAGCUGCGGAGACAGCCAAAAAAGGUUAUCUUGUCAGAGGUUCGUCAAGUGGUUCAGCAGAUGCAAGCUGUCCAUCAGCAUCUUGAAGAAGCUCUUGAGCGGUCGGAUUCUUAGUGACAAUCAAAGUUCAAUGACACCAGAAACUCUUCAAGCUUUGGUCUGUUGCAAAGAUUGGUUGUACACAUAUCCCACCAAUGAAGUGAGUUAGGGAGUUCUGAGAAGCUUAUCCUUUGCACGAGCUGGCUUGUGAACUUUGUGGUUUCGUACCCUCGAUUUUGACUCAUAGAUCAGAGAAAGAAUGGAAGGGCAACCAGGCUUUUCCAGGCUCUUUGGUUCUGCAUCUCUUUAGGCUGUUUGGUCAGCAGGAUCAGAGUUCAUGGCAGAAGUACAUCUGAAUGAGCAGAAACCUAUUCCGAAGGCUCAGUCGGGAGGUGAUUCAAGUGGCAACAAAUCGAAUGAUUGCUAUUUUCCAGGCCUUCAUGAUGACCUGUCUCAAGAUUGCCUUGCUUGGUCAAGCAUAUCAGACUACCCUUCCCUUUCUUGUCUGAAUAAAAGAUUCAAUUUGUUAAUUAACAGUGGAUAUCUGUACAAAUUGCGAAAGAAAUAUGGCAUUGUUGAGCUUUGGGUGUA